rnacentral:ribozyme from 1 species
GGGGGGCAAAAUCCGAUCUCUACCUCCACGUGGUGCCCCCUGGUCAACUGCUCUAAAGAGCAGGCCAACAGAGACGG